rnacentral:rRNA from 1 species
UUCCGGUUGAUCCUGCCGGAGGCGACCGCUUUUGGAGUUCGAUUAAGCCAUGCGAGUAGAAAGAAAUUAGAUUCUUUGCGAACUGCUCAGUAACACGUGGAUAACCUGCCCUAUGCUCCGGAAUAACCUCGGGAAACUGAGAAUAAUACCGGAUAGAUCACAACGCCUGGAACGGUGUGUGGUUGAAAGAUUACGGCAUAGGAUGGGUCUGCGGCGUAUCAGGUUGUAGGGGGUGUAAAGGACCUCCUAGCCAUCGACGCGUACGGGUGUUGGGAGACAUAGCCCGGAGAUGGAUUCUGAGACACGAAUCCAGACCCUACGGGGUGCAGCAGGCGCGAAAACUUCACACUGCAGGAAACUGUGAUGAGGGAACUCCAAGUGCACGCACUUAGUGUGUGCUUUUUUCAACUAUUAAUCGGUUGAAGAAUAAGGGCUGGGAAAGACCGGUGCCAGCCACCGCGGUAAUACCGGCAGCUCAAGUGGUCGUCGCUUUUAUUGGGCCUAAAACGUCCGUAGCCUGUUUGGUAAAUCUGUGGGUAAAUCAACCAGCUUAACUGGUUGAAUUCUGCAGAGACUGCCAGACUAGGGACCGGGAGAGGUGUGGGGUACUCUAGGGGUAGGGGUAAAAUCCUGUCAUCCUUAGAGGACCACCAGUUGCGAAGGCGCCACACUGGAACGGAUCCGACGGUCAGGGACGAAGCCUAGGGGCACGAACCGGAUUAGAUACCCGGGUAGUCCUAGGUGUAAACGCUGUGAACUUGGUGUCGGGGAUCCGUCAUGGGUCCCCGGUGCCGGAGUGAAGAUGUUAAGUUCACUGCCUGGGGAGUACGGUCGCAAGGCUGAAACUUAAAGGAAUUGGCGGGGGAGCACUGCAACGGGAGGAGCGUGCGGUUUAAUUGGAUUCAACGCCGGA